CGGCGGACGGGUGGGUAACACGUGGAUAACCUACCUAUAAGACUGGGAUAACUUCGGGAAACCGGAGCUAAUACCGGAUAAUAUAUUGAACCGCAUGGUUCAAUAGUGAAAGACGGUUUUGCUGUCACUUAUAGAUGGAUCCGCGCCGCAUUAGCUAGUUGGUAAGGUAACGGCUUACCAAGGCAACGAUGCGUAGCCGACCUGAGAGGGUGAUCGGCCACACUGGAACUGAGACACGGUCCAG
rnacentral:rRNA from 1 species